AAUUACCACCGAGCGGCGGGUAGA
rnacentral:snRNA from 1 species